rnacentral:misc_RNA from 1 species
UCCGGUUUGGCACGGGCAGUUUCUCUAGAGUCCCCGACAUUACUCGCUGGCAACUAAAGAUAGGGGUUGCGCUCGUUGCGGGACUUAACCCAACACCUCACGGCACGAGCUGACGACAGCCAUGUAGCACCUAGUUUCGUGUCAUUUCUGACUGACAUGUUUCUACGUCAUUCACUAACUUUCAAGCCCAGGUAAGGUUCCUCGCGUAUCAUCGAAUUAAACCACAUGCUCCUCCGCUUGUGCGGGCCCCCGUCAAUUCCUUUGAGUUUCAACCUUGCGGUCGUACUUCCCAGGUGGAUAACUUAAUGCUUUCGCUUAGCCGCUGACUGUGUAUCGCCAACAGCGAGUUAUCAUCGUUUAGGGUGUGGACUAC